ACAACACACCAAUAAAUGAAUAAGGUAAAUUCAAUAACCCACACUAUUACUACAUAAUCUGAAUGUUAUAAAUACAUUUAGCAUAUUUUUAAUUGACAUUGUGCGUGUCUUUUUUCUGUUUGUUGCUGUACAUCUGUGAUGAUGCUGUUUGAGUCUCUUCAGUGACAACAAGCAGAAAACUGGACAACAAUAAAUGAACAGGGUAAACUUAAACACACAUUAUUACACCAUAAGAGUGUUACAAAUACAUUCAGCUUCUUUAAUUGUCAUUGUGCACCUCCUUCUGAAUAAUUUCCUAUAUUAAUCUUCUCCUUUUCUUAAUGUGCAUCUGUGCUGCUUUUUGAGUCACCUCAAUGACAACGAGCUGGGAAAGUCAGUCACUGCACACCGAUAAAGUAUUAGGUAAAUUCAAUAACUCACAUUAUUAAUUCAUAAUCCUAAUGUAACAUAAUAAAUAUGCACCUAUUGAAUUAACAUUUUGCAUGUCCUUGUGAACAUUUCUAAUAUAUUGUUCUGUUUGUUGUGCAUCUGUGCUGCUGUUUGAGUCUCUUCUGUGACAAGAGGCAGUAAUGUCGCUACACACCAAUUAAUUAGUCACCUCAAUGACAACGAGCUGGAAAAGUCAGUCACUGCACACCGAUAAACUACCAAGAGUCACCUCACUGGCAUCGGGCAAGAAAGGUCAACGCAGACUGAUAAAUUAAUAAGGCUUCUGUUUAGGUCUCUUCAAAUGACAACAGCUAAGGAAGCCUAGUCACUGCUUACAGAUAAUUGAAUAUGGUAAAUAAUAAUUCAUUAGGUUUUAAUUAAGAUGGUUUUGAAAUAUUACUUUAAUCAUGGAUUUUUUUGUGGCCAACUCUGCUUCAUUCCAGCUCUCCAACAGCUGACGGAGUUUUAAAGCCCAAGCAUCGGCCAGUUAAAUAUGACUGCAUCACUGGCAAACUACAGUGCUCUUUUGACCAGCCUUCAGCCAGUCCAGCUCCAAAACUUUGACUGCUGUUUUUGUCACAUAGAAUGGGCCGUUCCAACGAAAUCUGCCCCGUCACAAGUGCCACAACUUCUUAUUCAUUUGAAAAACAAAUAAAGCACUAGUUUCUGAUUACUGUUUUUGUGUCAUUUAAUUUCUGUAGAAAUUAAAAUGACCCAAAAAAGAACCAAAAUGACCUCACAACAGAAUUUGCCCCUUGCUCUUUACGGUAAAUAUCUAUUUUUUUGUUAUCAAUCUAGUCCAUUGAUUCUUGACACCAUUUUACAACAAAAAUUAUGGUUCCACUUUCCUUUUUUUUUUGGAAAUAGAGUGAUUUUACUACUCUCCAGAGUUCAACAGUUGAGUCUUACCGUGUUUAAAUCUUUUUAGCCAAGCUGGAUGGAGGCACUUUUAGCUUAGCUUAGCAUAGAUAAUUGAAUCAGAUUAGACCAUUAGCAUCUGGCACAAACAUAACCAAUGAGUUUUCCCAUUUAAAUCUUGACUCUUCUGUACUUACAUUGUAUACUAAGACUGAUAAAAAAAAUGGAAAAGUUGCUAUUUUCUUGGCAGAUAUGUCUAAACAAAGCUAUACUCUCAUUCUGGCCUAAUAAUCAAGGAACUUUGCUGCAGUUCAAUGGCGGCAGCAGGCACAAUGAUAUUACACAGCACCUGAAAAUCGUGCUACAAUCGAGACAUUUCUGAAAGAUGAUUCUGAAUUAUUUUGAGGCACUACAUAAUUUUAAUGCGACUGCUACAAUCGUGAGAAAAGUUUCAAGAAGUAAAGUGUUUUUUUUAACCUUAAAUCAGCACCAAACCACAAUGCAUCUUUAGGAGAGACUAUUAUUACUAUUGGGCAGCAUGGUGGCGCAGUGGGUAGCACUUUUACCUCAGCAAGAAGG